GAUGAACGCUGGCGGCGUGCCUAAUACAUGCAAGUCGAGCGAACAGACGAGGAGCUUGCUCCUCUGACGUUAGCGGCGGACGGGUGAGUAACACGUGGAUAACCUACCUAUAAGACUGGGAUAACUUCGGGAAACCGGAGCUAAUACCGGAUAAUAUAUUGAACCGCAUGGUUCAAUAGUGAAAGACGGUUUUGCUGUCACUUAUAGAUGGAUCCGCGCCGCAUUAGCUAGUUGGUAAGGUAACGGCUUACCAAGGCGACGAUGCGUAGCCGACCUGAGAGGGAGGUCGGCCACACUGGAACUGAGACACGGUCCAGACUACUACGGGAGGGAGCAGUAGGGAAUCUUCCGCAAUGGGCGAAAGCCUGACGGAGCAACGCCGCGUGAGUGACGAAGGUCUUCGGAUCGUAAAACUCUGUUAUUAGGGAAGAACAAAUGUGUAAGUAACUAUGCACGUCUUGACGGUACCUAAUCAGAAAGCCACGGCUAACUACGUG
rnacentral:rRNA from 1 species